rnacentral:rRNA from 1 species
UGCGUAGGUGGUCGGGUAAGUCUGAUGUGAAAUCUCUGGGCUCAACCCAGAAAUGGCAUUGGAUACUAUUCGGCUUGAGGGUUGGAGGGGGGACUGGAAUUCUCGGUGUAGCAGUGAAAUGCGUAGAUAUCGAGAGGAACACCAGUGGCGAAGGCGAGUCCCUGGACAACUCCUGACACUAAGGCACGAAAGCUGGGAGCAACA